AAGUCGUAACAAGGUUUCCGUAGGUGAACCUGCGGAAGGAUCAUUAUUGAAAAGCUUUGGAGUUUACUGUUGCUGGCCUUUUAACGAGGGCAUGUGCACGUAUCUCUAAUCUAUUCCAUCCACCUGUGCACUUUUUGUAGAGGUUCUUGAGAUUUGGCUUAUAGGUUUCUGACCUUGCAGCUGAUUUGAAAGGCUUCUAUGUUUUUACAAACCAUUAUAAGCAUGUCUAGAAUGUUCUUUUAUUGGGACUUCAUUGACCCUUUAAAAUCUAUACAACUUUCAGCAACGGAUCUCUUGGCUCUCCCAUCGAUGAAGAACGCAGCGAAAUGCGAUAAGUAAUGUGAAUUGCAGAAUUCAGUGAAUCAUCGAAUCUUUGAACGCACCUUGCGCCCUCUGGUAUUCCGGAGGGCAUGCCUGUUUGAGUGUCAUUAAAUUCUCAACUUCAAUAGUCUGUAAUGAACUUGUUGAAGCUUGGAUGUUGGAGGCUUGCUGGCGUCUCAGAUGUUCGGCUCCUCUUAAAUGCAUUAGUGGAUCCCGUUUUGUUGGGCUACUUUGGUGUGAUAAUUAUCUACACUUUGGUCAGUUCAAUGAACUCUAUGGGCAUUUCUCAGAACUCUUGUUCUGGUUUGGGUUUUUGCAUUAGUUUGCUUUACCUGGUUCAUUAGAGUAGGGCUUGUCUGCUUUCAAACUGUCUGUGAAUGCGGACAAUCUUUGACUAUUUGACCUCAAAUCAGGUAGGACUACCCGCUGAACUUAAGCAUAUCAAUAAGCGGAGGAAAAGAAACUAACAAGGAUUCCCCUAGUAACUGCGAGUGAAGAGGGAAAAGCUCAAAUUUAAAAUCUGGCGGUCUCUGGCCUGUCCGAGUUGUAAUUUAGAGAAGUGUUACCCGUUGUUGGGCCGUGUACAAGUCUCCUGGAAUGGAGCGUCAUAGAGGGUGAGAAUCCCGUCUUUGACACGGACUCCAAUGCGUUGUGGUAUGCUCUCAAAGAGUCGAGUUGUUUGGGAAUGCAGCUCUAAAUGGGUGGUAAAUUCCAUCUAAAGCUAAAUAUUGGGGAGAGACCGAUAGCGAACAAGUACCGUGAGGGAAAGAUGAAAAGAACUUUGGAAAGAGAGUUAAACAGUACGUGAAAUUGCUGAAAGGGAAACGCUUGAAGUCAGUCGCGUUAGCUGGGGAUCAGCCUUCCUUUUGGUUGGUGUACUUCCCAGUUGACGGGUCAGCAUCAGUUUUGACCAGUGGAUAAGAACUUGAGGAAUGUGGCAUCUUCGGGUGUGUUAUAGCCUCUUGUUGUAUACAUUGGUUGGGACUGAGGAACUCAGUACGCCGCAAGGCCGGGUUUUAACCACGUUCGUACUAGGA
rnacentral:rRNA from 1 species